rnacentral:rRNA from 1 species
GGCAUGCGCUGCUAUAAUGCAAGUCGAGCGAAUGGAUUAAGAGCUUGCUCUUAUGAAGUUAGCGGCGGACGGGUGAGUAACACGUGGGUAACCUGCCCAUAAGACUGGGAUAACUCCGGGAAACCGGGGCUAAUACCGGAUAACAUUUUGAACUGCAUGGUUCGAAAUUGAAAGGCGGCUUCGGCUGUCACUUAUGGAUGGACCCGCGUCGCAUUAGCUAGUUGGUGAGGUAACGGCUCACCAAGGCAACGAUGCGUAGCCGACCUGAGAGGGUGAUCGGCCACACUGGGACUGAGACACGGCCCAGACUCCUACGGGAGGCAGCAGUAGGGAAUCUUCCGCAAUGGACGAAAGUCUGACGGAGCAACGCCGCGUGAGUGAUGAAGGCUUUCGGGUCGUAAAACUCUGUUGUUAGGGAAGAACAAGUGCUAGUUGAAUAAGCUGGCACCUUGACGGUACCUAACCAGAAAGCCACGGCUAACUACGUGCCAGCAGCCGCGGUAAUACGUAGGUGGCAAGCGUUAUCCGGAAUUAUUGGGCGUAAAGCGCGCGCAGGUGGUUUCUUAAGUCUGAUGUGAAAGCCCACGGCUCAACCGUGGAGGGUCAUUGGAAACUGGGAGACUUGAGUGCAGAAGAGGAAAGUGGAAUUCCAUGUGUAGCGGUGAAAUGCGUAGAGAUAUGGAGGAACACCAGUGGCGAAGGCGACUUUCUGGUCUGUAACUGACACUGAGGCGCGAAAGCGUGGGGAGCAACAGGAUUAGAUACCCUGGUAGUCCACGCCGUAACGAUGAGUGCUAAGUGUUAGAGGGUUUCCGCCCUUUAGUGCUGAAGUUAACGCAUAAGCACUCCGCCUGGGGAGUACGGCCGCAAGGCUGAAACUCAAGGAAUUGACGGGGGCCCGCACAAGCGGUGGAGCAUGUGGUUUAAUUCGAAGCAACGCGAGAACCUUACCAGGUCUUGACAUCCUCUGAAAACCCUAGAGAUAGGGCUUCUCCUUCGGGAGCAGAGUGACAGUGGUGCAUGGUUGUCGUCAGCUCGUGUCGUGAGAUGUUGGGGUAGUCCCGCACGAGCGCACCCUGAUCU